rnacentral:rRNA from 1 species
GACGAACGCUGGCGGCGUGCUUAACACAUGCAAGUCGAACGGAAAGGCCCUGCUUUUGUGGGGUGCUCGAGUGGCGAACGGGUGAGUAACACGUGAGUAACCUGCCCUUGACUUUGGGAUAACUUCAGGAAACUGGGGCUAAUACCGUAUAGGAGCUCCUGCUGCAGGGUGGGGGUUGGAAAGUUUCGGCGGGUGGGGAUGGACUCGCGGCUUAUCAGCUUGUUGGUGGGGUAGUGGCUUACCAAGGCUUUGACGGGUAGCCGGCCUGAGAGGGUGACCGGCCACCUUGGGCCUGAGAUACGGACCAGACUCCUACGGGAGGCAGCAGUGGGGAAUAUUGCCCAAUGGGCGGAAGCCUGAUGCAGCAACGCCGCGUGCGGGAUGACGGCCUUCGGGUUGUAAACCGCUUUCGCCUGUGACGAAGCGUGAGUGACGGUAAUGGGUAAAGAAGCACCGGCUAACUACGUG